rnacentral:sRNA from 1 species
ACAAACAAAGAUGUUGUGUCCGCCAAAUACUAAAAAAUAAAUAUUAAAAAAAAUUCUCUCUCUCUCUACCUCUAUCUCUCUCACUCUCUCUUUUAAAAAAAAAAAAAAGAGAGAGGGAGAGAGAAUUUUAAUAUUUAUUUUUUAGUUUUCGGCGGACACAACAUCUUUGUUUGUAUGUGGUGCUGAGGAUCGAACCCCGCUGCACGCAU